ACUGCUUGUAGCCUUUACGGUGCUGUAUUUUCUCUGGCUGUAUAUUAGAACCAAUUUGUACAAGCCACUUGCAGACAGAGGGAGCCUGUGUUCCUAUUGUGGAGAGCUGACAGCCGGACCUGUUGCCGAUUAAACCACAUCCACUUCUAGCUUACUGACGGCUGAAAACAUCAGCCUGCCUGUUUGCACUUCUUGUAAUAAGAGUGCCACUCUCCUUAUCCACUGACUCACCACCGGUUUCAAGAAAAGCAGCCUACAUCCAUAUAUAACAAAGAAAAGCGAGCACUUCGAGAAUCUCUGGUCUUCUUUCUGCUUACUUUUGAUGAUCCUUAUUGCUGGCUAGAGUCUCAGUGCUAACGGACCUAUAGGAAUGCCAUCUGACGUCAGAGACCACUGUGACACCCCCCCCCCCCGAUUGUGCCCCUGGAGCUAGGCGACGGGCGGUGUCAGCUGUUAUUAACGUUACUCACUUUCCAGGAGCUGCAGGUACAGAGUACUAAGGAAGUCUGUACGUGUGUAACGGGACCCGGACUGGUGUAGGAAUAUACAAGGCCAUUGAUCCGGUGAACGAUCCGCCCAAACCUCCCAGUGCCUUAUCCUGUCUGUUCCUUCUAACGAAGCUGCCUCUCUAUUGGAUUUUGGAUGGGUCUCCUAUUGGAUACACAGUGUUUCUCUUUUCUUUAGAGCUGCUUAAAGGGGGACGGUCGGAACUUGCACUACUUACAAUUAUCAUAACACUGUCUGAUCAAAAAGUUGUAUUUUUGAAUGUUUUUUCCCCACUUUUUUGUCUCACACAACAGUUAACCAUAACUCUGAAGUUACGUAAUCCCGGCGUGCAUUAAAUUGUGUUCAAAUGAA